rnacentral:rRNA from 1 species
GCCUACACAUGCAAGUCGAACGGGAAUCUUCGGAUUCUAGUGGCGGACGGGUGAGUAACGCGUAAGAAUCUAACUUCAGGACGGGGACAACAGUUGGAAACGACUGCUAAUACCCGAUGUGCCGCAAGGUGAAAACUAAUUGGCCUGAAGAAGAGCUUGCGUCUGAUUAGCUAGUUGGUGGGGUAAGAGCCUACCAAGGCGACGAUCAGUAGCUGGUCUGAGAGGAUGAGCAGCCACACUGGGACUGAGACACGGCCCAGACUCCUACGGGAGGCAGCAGUGGGGAAUUUUCCGCAAUGGGCGAAAGCCUGACGGAGCAACGCCGCGUGAGGGAGGAAGGUCUUUGGAUUGUAAACCUCUUUUCUCAAGGAAGAAGUUCUGACGGUACUUGAGGAAUCAGCCUCGGCUAACUCCGUGCCAGCAGCCGCGGUAAUACGGGGGAGGCAAGCGUUAUCCGGAAUUAUUGGGCGUAAAGCGUCCGCAGGUGGUCAGCCAAGUCUGCCGUCAAAUCAGGUUGCUUAACGACCUAAAGGCGGUGGAAACUGGCAGACUAGAGAGCAGUAGGGGUAGCAGGAAUUCCCAGUGUAGCCGGUGAAAUGCGUAGAGAUUGGGAAGAACAUCUGGUGGCGAAAGCGUGCUACUGGGCUGUAUCUGACACUCAGGGACGAAAGCUAGGGGAGCGAAAGGGAU